UACAGAGGGUGCGAGCGUUGUCCGGAAUCACUGGGCGUAAAGGGCGCGUAGGUGGCGCCGCAAGUCCAUGGUGAAAGCUCGAUGCUCAACAUCGAGUCGGCCACGGAGACUGCGGGGCUCGAGCACUGUAGGGGCAGAUGGAAUUCCGGGUGUAGCGGUGGAAUGCGUAGAGAUCCGGAAGAACACCGGUGGCGAAGGCGGUCUGCUAGGCCGCAACUGACACUGAGGGACGAAAGCUAGGGGAGCGAAUGGG
rnacentral:rRNA from 1 species